ACCAAGUGUUAAGCAGUGUAUUCUCAAGUAGCCUACUCCAUGUAUACUGAGGCAUAUGAGCUUCUUUCUUUUGUUGCAGGUGAGAUGCCUUGACAAAAGAGAUUUUUUUUAUCCUAAGGCAAUGCUGAGGCUGAAUGUGUUGCUGCAAACUGUUGCUCUUAAUUGUCAUAAGAACCAAACGCCCUAUGGUGUUGUUUUUCAUUCUUCGUGUGUCUGCAUGCAACUGAAAUUAACUCGGCUUAACAGAUCAACAAAACAAAGAGGAAAAACCACUCCUCGUACAGUCGCACAUUUCAUUCUCCAGUGCUACAGCUCGCCUCCUUCGCGGUGUUUUGUAUCUACAGGAAGGCAGCGAGUCCAGGAAACAACAUUUGAGACUCCGCCCAGUGACGCGGGCUUUUGUGGGCGUCGACUAAACUCCACUCGGACCAAUCGGGAUUCACGGUGAAACUUUGUAAACAACUCUUACACGCUGUUUUAAAGCUCCUCUGCUGUUUUUACUACGACGAGACGCGACGCCGCUGCAAGCAAAGUGACCCAAAAGUGGCCAAAAAAAAACACAGGUGAGACAGAGUUGUGUUUGUUCGCAGUUUAAAAAAAAAAAAAAAAAAAAAAAAGUUAUACGAAGUGCUCGCGUGCUACGUGUGUGUACGCGCGCGCCCUGCGUUUGUAUCGGCGUCCUCGUGACUCGUAGUAACAGCGGCGCUGGUGCAAAAACAGCUGUCAUGUAGAGUAAUGAUUAAAGAGGAAAACCGUGGAGUUUGGUGUUAGUCAGCGUGUGUGUUUGUUUAUAUGAAAUGAAAAAAUGAUUAUAACUUUAGAGGUUGCGUCAGUGUGCCGAGUGACGUCGCCACUAUAUUGUAAAAACGUUAAAUUCCUGUCACGGAGCCAGCUGGGGAGAAAAAUCUCUGCCAGACUUUUACUGCCUGGUUUGUUUGAAGUUUGGCUGAAAGAAUGAUUCGUCAUUUUAGGAGACGUGUUUAUGACAGUUUGUCAUUAAAUUACACUUUAAUUCAAUAAUAGUCUUUAAUGGUGGUGAUGUUCCCAGCUCAGUGGACAUGAGUGAGUCCUUAGUGCUUCCCCCCUGCGCCUGUCAACGUUAUUAUUAUUUUUUUUUUAAAAAGGAGAUGUAUUUAAAGGUAGAAAAUGGACUAUGGAGAGAACUUGGCGGUUUAAACUUAACAAGCCUGUGGUUGACUUUCUGAGUAAUUUAAGGGAGCAGGCUAAUGAUGGAGCAGAGUUCAUUGAAAAUCACCUGUGAUUAGAUAGCUCCGCAGAGUCAGUAUCAAGGAGUUGCUUUGUCCUGCUCUUAAGUGUGAGACAAGAAAAUGUGACAAUCCAUCACCAUAGCGGACGGCCAUCCAAAUGUUGAAAUCAAACUCCACUCACAAAAUAUAUACAAAGUCAAGAGGAAUGAUUGCAAAGCAGAAAAAAGCAGCACUGGAAAGUCUGUUGUGGUCCAACAUAGGACCUCAUGCUUGGGUCAGGCUCUGUCAUGGCCCACCUGAGUGACAUCAUGAACAUGGCUGAAAUGACCAGCGGAGAUCUGAGAUAACUUGUCCAAGUUAUUAAUGAAUGGGAUCCCAUCGUGCCCAGGUCUAGUCUCAGGAGCUGAUCUCAGAAGAGGAUACAGUGAGUGCCAGCUGUGCUCUGCUGCUGUACAGUGCACACUACUUCAGAGAAGUCAACCUCACUGCACUCCAUCCACCCCAUUGAACUGCCAGCUCUGGUGUCUGUAAGGCGGGGAUUUACAUUUUCUCAGGACAGGCAGCCCGUGGAGAGAGGCCUGCUGGCAGAUCAAAGGCUCCGGCUGUAAAACGAUCUGAAAGAGUCCGGCAUUAGCAUCCAUCAGGGUACCUUGAAAGCUCCCUGGUCAGCCGAGAGGGAAGCUGAGGGCCCCCCAAAGUGAAAGCCCAGUCUGGAGAGGGGUGAUGGGGGGCAGAGGGAGGGUAGAAUCGGGGUGGAGAGAGAGAGACACACGGAGAGAGAGAGAGAGAGAGAGAGAGAGAGUGGUGGAGGGAUGAAUAACAGGCUACUCGGCUAAAGACAUGAAGGAAAUAUUUCCACGAGGGAGGAAAAUUCCCAUAACAAGCUGCAAAUGUUUUUAUUUCUCUUUUGGUUUAAAAAAAAAAGCUCCUCCUUUAGCUCUUCCUCUCUCUUCCUCUAUCUUUUUAAUUUCUUUUUACAGCGUUGAGGCUGUAAGGGGAGAACAUCUCCAUCUGUGCACCAUCUCCAUUCAGCUCACCAAGCCCAGACUUUUACUACUCCACCCUGCAGUCUACACACAGGGUCAUGUCUGGUCGGGGAUGGGAAGUGGAGUGAAGAAGGGAGGGAGGAAAGGAGGGAAGGAAAGAGUGUGGGAGGAAGAGAAACCUGGUUUGGCUUCAUAUAUUGUAUCUCUUUACAUCAGAAUUAAAGUGGGAGAGAAGUAGGGAUGGCAGAAGUAUGGGGGCUGCAUGUGUGUGUUCCUUCUUUUAAGCAAUAAGCAUGAUUCACAGUCUUGAAAUGGAUAGGUACAUGUGUGAUAGGGAUCAAGAUUCGACCUGCAUUCCUGGUGUGUUCCGGUGCCUCCACAUUUGUGUCUUUUUCAAUAACAAAAGUAAAGCCACAUUCAUCACAUAACUCUAAAAAAUAAGUCAGGCUGAUCUUGUGAUAUAAUUCCCUCAAGAAAUAAGAUUUAUAGACACUGAGACCUGUGAACACUGAGCUCCUUUUUUCCUGGAAAGACUUUUAACUAUGCUAUGUGGUGAUAUUUUCAAAUGUCUGCAGUUUUCAAAUUCCCAAAUCUCCAGUAGAAUCAGAACCACUGCUGACUGUGACCCUUUCAGCACUGACUUCCUCUCAGCACCCUUACUGUAACACAAAGUCAAGUUGGGAAGGUUAGUCCAUGAAUGAUUGAUCUAUGAAUGAGACCAAAUUUUUGGAAGGUCAUGGUACAGCCUGUGUUUCUCCCAGCUGUACAGACUCCCAGCAUCAUUGAUUGGUCCUGGUCCAGUGUGAGUAUGUGUGAUGAAGAGGUCUC